rnacentral:rRNA from 1 species
UAACCUGCCCAAGAGAUCGGGAUAACACCUGGAAACAGAUGCUAAUACCGGAUAACAACAGAUGAUGCCUAUCAACUGUUUAAAAGAUGGUUCUGCUAUCACUCUUGGAUGGACCUGCGGUGCAUUAGCUAGUUGGUAGGGUAACGGCCUACCAAGGCGAUGAUGCAUAGCCGAGUUUAGAGACUGAUCGGCCACAUUGGGACUGAGACACGGCCCAAACUCCUACGGGAUGUAGCAGUC